CAUUGCAUAACCGGUUUUUAGGCAUUGCUUGAUUGCUUGAUAGGGCAUUGCGUAACUAGUUUUUGUGGCAUUGCAUGAUUGUUCUCUAGGCAUUGCUUGGAUAUUAAUGCUUUUUUGUUUUUUUUUCUCAAAUUUAAUGCUCGUAUUAUGUAUCUAUUUUGUUACUUAAUAAGUCAUGAUUCACAUGUGAUUCAUUUAUUUUCUUUUAUGUAUGCAAAGAUAGUAAAAACUAGUUCUUGUUUUUCCGUCUUUCUUGAUCAUAUUUGCUAAAUGGAUAUGUUAUUCGCUUCAGUUACAGAUGACCAAAACAGAGUAGGAGAACUUGGAAGCUUUGCUUUGUGUUUCGAGGGACAAGUGGGGCUUCAAUGCUGGUAAUUACAUUUCAUAUGUGAGGCGUUACAAAAAAAAUGAGUUGGAGGUAGUGGAGAAAACGUUCUCCGGGAAGCUAAUGGACAUAAAAUAAAAAAAAGCUUAUUUUGCACCAAUCUAGCACACAACCUAUUGCUACACAGAAUCAAAGAACCCGGCGCCAUCGAUAGUGAGUUAUGGUUUGGCAUAGGCAAUUCCUAGAUAUGUUUCUCUAAUAAUGAGUUUUGUCUAGUCACAAAAUUGAAGUUCGACCCCAUGUUAGAUGUUAUCUCAAGUCCUUAGGAGGUGAAGCUCUAAGAUAUGUUAGAUACGAUCGAGAGAGGUUAGUUUGAUUAGGACAGAGACACAAUAAGGAUGGCCUUACUGUUGAUUGCAAAUAAUAUUUUAUUUGAUCAAGAUUAUAGAAGAUCGGUGACUUCAUGGAUGUUUUCCCUAGUUGAGAACAUCAACCAGUGGAAAGCAUUCCCAUGACGUACCUAUGUGUGGAAUCUGAACGUGGACUACAUAUCAAAGAGUUUCCAAGUUUCACCAGCGUAGACAUCUUAGAAGAAAUGCUACCACUUGUACAAAUUUGUAUCGACGCUAUAGGUUCGGUGCUAUAAGGUUUUCCAUUUUGCUCUUCACAUAAGAUUUUAUUUGGUGAUUAUAAUGUUUAUAAUUGACUUGCAAUUCUGGGUGUUGGAUGCCAUUCCUACUAUCCAAAGCUACUUUGGAUCCCUCUGACAAUCUGAAGACGUUUAUCCACGAAUCUUAGAUAGCAUUGAGAUGAGAGGCCCAUAGGUUUUCACAAGAUCAUAACAGAUUUAGAGAGUGAAGAUAAUGUGAGGAGCAAAAUGGUUUUUUUUUUUGCUGUCAUAUGUCAACUAUCUUUCAACUUAAUGGCAAUGUUUGUUUUGGUGCAAUUGCACGCAUUAUGAGCCUUGAAGCUAAUCACAAAGGAGAACUUAGAGGCAUAUUAGGUCGACAUUGAUGUCCAUCUAUCUUAGGGGCAUCAGUAAGUUCCAUUAUGGCAGUAGAGGGUUGAGUAGCAUUUGGUCUCGAACAACAGUAGAAGAUCAUCACCCACAAGGUGAAGAGAGUUACAAGAGCCAUUAAUAGAGGCGCAUUAUUGGACGAGCGUGGUGCAAUGCCCCUUCUACUACUCUUAAGGCUUUUGUUGCUCAAUCCCUACAUGAUGAUCAAAUGCACAUGACGCAGUGUCCUCAGAUAGUCAACGCAUUAAAGCAUGGGCUGAAAUGGCUGGGGACAUAGUCGAAAAAAGACUUACAGUUAAUGAAGCUAAAGAUUUAGAGGAGAUCUAGUGGGAGAUGUCGUUAAUGCAACUAAAGAUCUAGUGGGAGAUCUAGGAGUUAGAAGACCGAAUUAUACAUCGAUUUCUCGACCAUUUUGAGGUGAGUCUAUCAAUCAAUAGAAUGGUGUGCGCAACGAUAAUGGCGAUGCCCACGGGGUUAAUAGUAAUGAGCCAACUGGUAUAAAUUGGAGGACUAGUCGUAAUGAGCUAAUUGGUUCGCAUUUGCACACUGGUGGUGAUGAGCCAACGAGUUUGGAUUCACAUACGAGUGUCAAGUAGUCCUAGCCAGGCUUAUAUGUCCCUUUGGCUAAGAACACACUUCCUCUUAUGGCCCUAAAUCAUGCUCAGAGCUCACCUCCUCUUAGCCUGUACGCAGAUCCUCUUGAGGCCCACAUCUUGCUCAUAGCACACCUUCGCUUAAGGAUCCACAUCGUGCUUAGAGCACACCUUCUCCUGAGGCUCCAUGUCCACCUUUAGUUAAAGAUGUACAACUAAGCAUGGCCAACAAAAACCUGAGGAGCCUUUACAUUAAUGCCUUAUUAGUCCAAAGUGAAGAGAAGGACAUGUUGAAGGACAAAUACAAGUACUACAAGAAUAACAAGCAGGCUAGGGUUAACAUGAUGGGCAUCAAAGGGCAAGAAGGCCUUGAAUUUUUCAGGUUAUUGGAGAAACAUGAUGAGUGGAUGAGUAGCUAACACAUAGACGUAUGCAUCAGUGUCAUGUAACAUUCUACAUGCAUUGUGCCAUGAAUGGAUCCCUAACCUUCUUAUCCAUAGUUCAAGUUGAAAAAAGUGGGUAUUCUUGAACUUCUGCUUGCUCAUGUGAGGGGUGACAGUCUUUCGUGGGGGAAGCCAUCACAUGGGGUUUACUCGAUCUUGGUGUUGUGCCAUUUUAACAGCCACCGGGUUGUACUGCAUAUCAACUUGGUCGAUUGGGUUAUAACAUUGGUGGACUCCUCAUAUGGUUGUUUGGAUGCAAUUAAGUCCUCAUUGUGCAAAGAUCAGAUGCUUCCUCUAAUUACGUUGAUUUCCAUUUUAUGCCACCAGUUCGGGUACUUCUACAGAACACCUCGUAGAACAUGACCUUGGAUACGGAUAAGCUACCAAUUAAAUCAUUCAACCCUGUAGCAAAAGGACCAGGGUAGUUACAGGGACUAGGUAAUCAUUGCAAUGGAGUGGCUGAUCGAUACAUGCAACACGAUCCUGAGGAAGGACGCAAUUGAAGGGUUGAGGAAAAGAUAUACAUUAGAAAUUUUUGUUAAUAGUAUUGAGAUAGAUUGAUUGUGAAA